rnacentral:tRNA from 1 species
GGGUUGUGGCUCAGUGGCAGAGCGCUUGCCUGGCAUGUGUGAGGCCCUGGGUUCCAUCCUCAGCCCCA